rnacentral:rRNA from 1 species
CUGCCCAAUGAUAAUUUAUUUAAUGGCUGCAGUAUAAAUAACUGUACAAAGGUAGCAUAAUAAUUAGUUUUUUAAUUAAAAACUAGAAUGAAAGAUUAAAUGAAAUAUAAACUGUUUCAAUAAAAUUAAUUAAACUUAUUAUUUAAGUUAAAAAACUUAAAUUUUUAUAAAAGACGAUAAGACCCUAUAGAAUUUUAUUAUUUUAUAAUUAUAAUAUUAAUAAAUUAUUUAAUUUAAAUUAUAAAAUAAUUUAAUUGGGGUAAUUUAAAAAUUAAAAAAAUUUUUUUUAAAAUAAACAUUAAUUUAUGAAAAAUAAAUCCUAAAAUUUAGAUUAAUAAAUUAAAUUACCUUAGGGAUAACAGCAUAAUUUUUUUUGAAAGUUCUUAUUAAUAAAAAAGAUUAUGACCUCGAUGUUGAAUUAAGAUAUAAUUAAAAUGAAAAAAUUUUAAAAUUUAAGUCUGUUCGACU